rnacentral:rRNA from 1 species
UGGGGAAUAUUGGACAAUGGGGGGAACCCUGAUCCAGCCAUGCCGCGUGUGUGAAGAAGGCCUUAUGGUUGUAAAGCACUUUAAGCGAGAAGGAGGGUACUGGUAUUAAUACUACCAGGUACUGGACGUUACUCGCAGAAUAAGCACCGGCUAACUCUGUGCCAGCAGCCGCGGUAAUACAGAGGGUGCGAGCGUUAAUCGGAUUUACUGGGCGUAAAGCGUGCGUAGGCGGCUAAUUGAGUCGGAUGUGAAAUCCCCGAGCUUAACUUGGGAAUUGCAUUCGAUACUGGUUAGCUAGAGUGGGGGAGAGGAUGGUAGAAUUCCAGGUGUAGCGGUGAAAUGCGUAGAGAUCUGGAGGAAUACCGAUGGAGAAGGCAGCCAUCUGGCCUAACACUGACGCUGAGGUACGAAAGCAUGGGGAGCAAACAGG